CUCAACCCGCACUCCACCCCUGUCGAGACACGGGAGUCAACCACGCCCGCAGCCGCACUCCACCCGCUCUGCGUUCCCUCUCUCUGCUCCGCCGCCGCCCUCCCCUCCACCUUUCCUCGGCUGCGAGUCCGGACGCACCGGAUCCGGUGUCCGCGAGGCCGGACGCGAGGAGGCAGCGCAGAGGACAGGCCACCAGGUCGUCCUCAGGCAGGAGGACAUGCCUGCCGCCGGUUGCCACAGAAUCCUGCUCCGACAAGUUCCCCGAGCGCCCGGUCCAGAUCCCCGGCGACCGUGAUCGUGCCUCUUUCUGCUGGACAAGGCGACAACGAGGGCGCCGGGGAGGAAGAACUUCUCGUCUACCAGGGGAUGCUGCCCGAUCUGCUGCUGCUGUGAGGAGUACCUGAGGCUGAGGAGGAAGAAUGCGCUGCACUUGACGAUCCGGAGACGGAUGAGGAAGAUGAUGCCGCGGAGGAUCCGGAGGCCAAACAUGAACCUGCACUUGAAGAUGCAUCCAUCAAUGGCACGAAGGCGCAUAGGCACAUGAGGAAAAAGAGCUGGCCUGAGGAGUAGCUAGCCCGAGGCGCGGAGGCCGGAGGAGGAGCUGGCGCGGAAGUUGCUGCUCGAAGUCCCGCCAAGAGUUCACGUGCCUGGGGAUCUGGGCGAGAUGCAGAUGAGCAUGGUGCUAGGCGAGCUAGAGAUAUGGGGAGAUGUGAGCUGGGCGAAGGGCUAAAUUGUAAAUUUACAUUGUAUUAAGCGUUGCGACACUUUUUCAGGAUCGGAGGGAGUAUUUUUUUCCCGAGGUGCAUUUCAAAACUUUCUUUUUUUGAGAAUAGAAUGAGAGAUUGCUGACCACCCUCGCCGGGUGGUUAUUCAAAACUAAUUUUAGGUAGUUACAUAUAUAGGGGUUACUUGUAGGCGCCAACAUUAGCCAAUAUGUAUAUAUAUAGGAUCUAGAUCCAUUUGUCCUCCGCCACAUGGCGCUUGUUGCGUCGAUGGCGUUUACUCUAUGAGUAUAUAAGAAUUAUGAGGUGCCACCAUUCUCGAUCUCAAAGUAACGAGCAGGAGAGUGCUCACAAAAAUUGACAUCUAUUGUGAGAAUGGAGUUGCCACGAAAGUUGCGCCCGCUCAUCAUCAUGGCGAUGCUACUGUUGCUCGUGAUGGCUGCGGAAGGCCAUAAACAUUGUCCAGAGGACUUGUGUGAAGGACCAAGUGGCAAGUUCAAAGGUGCAUGUUCACAGGACGACGAAUGCCAAGAAACAUGUGGGGAAGAGGGUUUUCAUACUGGCUUUUGUAAAGUUGGGCCUUUUAAUGGUGCAUGUAAAUGUUGUAAGCCAUGCGUUUUUUAAAUUAUUUCCCACUGCUUCACGGAAGAAUUGCUUCAUGUAAGAAUUUACCUAUUGAAUUUAAUAAAUUGGAGUCUUGUUUCUUCACUACAACACGCUUGCUUCAUGUAA